UACGGAGGGUCCAAGCGUUAUCCGGAAUCACUGGGUUUAAAGGGUCCGUAGGCGGGAUAGUAAGUCAGUGGUGAAAGUCUGCAGCUUAACUGUAGAAUUGCCAUUGAUACUGUCGUUCUUGAGUGUUUAUGAAGUGGUUAGAAUAUGUAGUGUAGCGGUGAAAUGCAUAGAUAUUACAUAGAAGACCGAUUGCGAAGGCAGAUCACUAAUAAAAGACUAGCGCUGAUGGACGAAAGCGUAGGUAGCGAACAGG
rnacentral:misc_RNA from 1 species